GAGGGGUAUAAGUCUUCGGAUUUAGAGACCGGCGCACGGGUGCGUAACGCGUAUGCAAUCUACCUUUUACAGAGGGAUAGCCCAGAGAAAUUUGGAUUAAUACCUCAUAGUAUUAUGAAAUGGCAUCAUUUUAUAAUUAAAGUCACAACGGUAAAAGAUGAGCAUGCGUCCCAUUAGCUUGUUGGUAAGGUAACGGCUUACCAAGGCUACGAUGGGUAGGGGUCCUGAGAGGGAGAUCCCCCACACUGGUACUGAGACACGGACCAGACUCCUACGGGAGGCAGCAGUGAGGAAUAUUGGUCAAUGGACGCAAGUCUGAACCAGCCAUGCCGCGUGCAGGAUGACGGUCCUAUGGAUUGUAAACUGCUUUUGCACAGGAAGAAACAACUCUACGUGUAGAGUCUUGACGGUACUGUGAGAAUAAGGAUCGGCUAACUCCGUGCCAGCAGCCGCGGUAAUACGGAGGAUCCAAGCGUUAUCCGGAAUCAUUGGGUUUAAAGGGUCCGUAGGCGGUUUAGUAAGUCAGUGGUGAAAGCCCAUCGCUCAACGGUGGAACGGCCAUUGAUACUGCUAAACUUGAAUUAUUAGGAAGUAACUAGAAUAUGUAGUGUAGCGGUGAAAUGCUUAGAGAUUACAUGGAAUACCAAUUGCGAAGGCAGGUUACUACUAAUGGAUUGACGCUGAUGGACGAAAGCGUGGGUAGCGAACAGGAUUAGAUACCCUGGUAGUCCACGCCGUAAACGACGGAUACUAGCUGUUGGAAGCAAUUUCAGUGGCUAAGCGAAAGUGAUAAGUAUCCCACCUGGGGAGUACGUUCGCAAGAAUGAAACUCAAAGGAAUUGACGGGGGCCCGCACAAGCGGUGGAGCAUGUGGUUUAAUUCGAUGAUACGCGAGGAACCUUACCAAGGCUUAAAUGUAGAUUGACCGGUUUGGAAACAGACUUUUCGCAAGACAAUUUACAAGGUGCUGCAUGGUUGUCGUCAGCUCGUGCCGUGAGGUGUCAGGUUAAGUCCUAUAACGAGCGCAACCCCUGUUGUUAGUUGCCAGCGAGUCAUGUCGGGAACUCUAACAAGACUGCCAGUGUAAACUGUGAGGAAGGUGGGGAUGACGUCAAAUCAUCACGGCCCUUACGCCUUGGGCUACACACGUGCUACAAUGGCCGGUACAGAGAGCAGCCACUGGGCGACCAGGAGCGAAUCUACAAAACCGGUCACAGUUCGGAUCGGAGUCUGCAACUCGACUCCGUGAAGCUGGAAUCGCUAGUAAU
rnacentral:rRNA from 1 species